rnacentral:lncRNA from 1 species
GUGGGAAUGAUGAGGCGGCUUUGAAAGCGGGGUGGGGGAGAGGGAGGAGCCAGUUGGAGAGGCUGGGAAAACGGAAGGGCUGUAUCCUGGGCAAAUAGAGUUCUUGUAAAAGUAUCUAGUUUUAAAAAACAAAAGUAAAAAGUAUCGAGGUUUUAUUUCAUGUCCCGUUGUUCAAAGGAAGUCUGUAACAGAACGCUCCAAGAUGCCCGAAGAGAAAACUGCUCAUUCAAGAAGCACAUGAUAAGAACACAUUAGUGUCCGAGUCAAAAUAAUGAGGUUUUAUCCCUUAACGAUAAUAUCGUUAGGCCCACCUUCAGACGUGAAAGUGUGAAAAAGGAUUAAAUACUCAUUAGAAGGAGAGCAUCAAACAACAAGGUUUUAUUUUUAAACAGUAAUUUUUCUCAAACUGCAAACAAAUAUGCAGAAUAUGCUUUGCUUAAGGACAUUCCCUGAUUACUAGGAAAUGAAUCAACACAAAAACUCAAGAAUAUACAUCAUAAUAUAACACAAUUUUAUUUCCGCCUUCUAGAAAAUGUUCCCGGAAUGUGGAAGAAGCUUGUGUAAAAAUAGAUGUUCAGAGUAACAAGAUUUAUAAUAGCACAGCCUUAGAAAUCUAAACACGUUAUUUAAGUAAAAUAUCAGGCAGGUAUUUAAAAUUAUGUUAACAAAAACCUUGUGUUUGUCUUAUAUUUGUUAAAAGCCAAAUGCGAAAUUUUUAUAUAAUAUGACUUAAACUAUAUUGACAUACAUAUAAUGCACAAAAAGUGUAGGUCAGUUUUUCAAAAUCACAGCAAGCAAUUAGAUCUAAGGAUGGAAUUAUAGGUAAAUUACUUUUAUUUCUUUAUACUUUUCUGUUUUUUCUAGAUUUUUCCAUAAUGAGUAUAUAUUGUCUUAUGAUCUAUAAAACAAAAUUUAAAAAUACAAGGGAGAUGAGACUGGCUAUUUGUAGAGAAUGAACCCAAUUUAGAUAUACAAAUAUACUGUAAGUAUACAAGGUAAAGCAACCAAAGGACGGUGAGAUAGCAAAAUUUUAACAGUGGUUGUAACUUUGUAAUGGCUUAUGGCUGAUUUGUCUUCUUUAUACUUUAAGAUAGCUACCAAAAUGUCUUCCAUGAGCAUAUAUUAUAUAUUAGAAUAUUAAAUAUCUUUUAAGAUGGUAAGAAUAAUACCAUCAUAUUAAGUAUAGUUUUAAACUAAUGGGCAAAUCCUGGCACAAAUACUCCCUGAAGUAUGUUUGAUACUGUUAAUUCCUACUUAAUGUCAAUGUUUUCUUCUCUUUCUGUUACUAAUUUAACCCUGUGUUGGGAAUGACAGUGUUCUCUUUUAAAAAAAAAAAUCUCUCAACCUCUUUCUCAGUGAGAGUGGCCUGUGACAUGGUCUAGCCAAUGAGAUGUAAGUGUAAUCACUGGAUGAGGUGUCAGGGAAAGCACUUCCAUUUUAUGUCUAUUGCCUUUCCUUUUCUUUCUACUUGAAAUGAGAAUAUGCUGGCUGAAGCUCCAGCAGCCUUGCUGUGAACAUAAACAUGAGGGUCACAUCUUAAGGAUGGUGGAACAAAAAUGAAAAAGGAACCUGAGUUCCUGGUAACGUCAUGGAACAGCCCUAUCAGCUUCUUGACUGGCUAUCUCCAGACUUUGCAUGAGAGAAGAUAAACUCCUAUUUUAUUAAGCUACUAUUAUUUGGGUUUUUUGCUACAUUCAGCCAAACUGAAUCCCUGACUGCUACAAUGGGUAUGACUUUGGAAGUAUUAUUUAGCGUUUUGUGCUACAUUGAAUUAUUCUCCCUAAUCCUUCAUGCCUCUUAGCAUCCACACCUUUGCCAUGGACUUUGGUGGAGUAUACUUCCCCAAUCCUUGAUUUUGAAUUUAGCCAUGUGACUUGCUUUGGCCAAUAGGUUGUGGUGAAGCAACGGUGUGCCAAAUCAGAUCCAAGAUCUUAAAGAGACCCCAUAUUUCUGCUUUCUCUCUUGUGCCUGUAUCAUUGCCAUGAGAAGUACAUACAAAGCAAGCUCUUUGGUCCCAGAAUCACAUGCAUAUGGCACAGAAUUGCCUGAACCGAUCUUUUAGUAAGAUGCAGAGAUGCCCAACUAGGGCCCAGCCUAGAUCAGCCAAACUCCAGUCAACCUGUAGAUGUGUGAUAAUGAAUGAGUAUUGUUUUAAACCGCUGAGUUUUUGAGUGGCUUAUUAUACAGUAUAAGUGUGGAAAGAGUUCAUUUAUAAACCUUUCAGUGAUUUAAAUUUCUCAUUUAUAAAACAAAACAAUGGUAUCUAUCUCGUGGAGUUGUGAGAGUAAAAUGAGAUAGCCGUCAUGAAGCACUUAGCACAGCAUCUGACAUAGAUAAAAGGAUUCAUAAAUUUUAGAAACUAGUAUUUUAUGACCUUUAUCAUGGUUAUUAUUGACAACAUCAACUAUGACAAUAUAUUUUAUACUCCCAUGGUUUAUUGGACUUCUAGUCUUUGUAGAACUAUUUGUUCCUAGUUUUAACACGGCAGCAAUGGCAUUUAAUUAAAAAACACGGAGGAACCAGAGUGCAUCCAGAGAAUAAGAAAAAUUUUGUCAGAAUAAGAUAGAGAGAACUGGAUAUAUUUACCUUGAGAAAAAGAAGGCAUGAGAACUCUUCUCAGUUUUGUUAAAAGAGAAACCAAGUUUUAUGUUGUUUCAAAACACCAGAUUACAAAUCUACAUAAAACAGUCUUAAAAUAGAAUUGUGAUGGAAGUCAUCCUAGAAGAAGUGAAACCCAUUUUAUCAAAUGUUUUUUAUCUAAAAGCUAAAAGAUUGCCUUUAAGAAUAUUGUAGAAUUAAUUUCUUCUGAUUAAGUAUCUUUAAUAUGUCACAAACUGUUCAACAUUUAAAGAGAGAAUUAUAUAUUUUUCCUUUUCCUCAGGCUUUAAGAAGUUUUAAGCUCAAAUGAGUUGAGCUUCUUAGCAUGUUUAAUAAUUUUUUAUUGAGCCGGGCACGGUGGCUCACGCCUGUAAUCCCAGCACUUCGGGAGGCCAAGGUGGGUGGAUCGCCUGAGGUCAGGAGUUUGAGACCAACCUGGCCAACAUAGUUAAACGCCGUCUCCACUAAAAAUACAAAAAAUUAGCUGGGCACGGUGGCGGGCGCCUGUAAUCCCAGCUGCUCGGGAGGCUGAGGCAGGAGAAUUGCUUGAAGCUGGGAGGCGGAGGUUACAGUGAGCCGAGAGAUCGCUCCAUUGCACUCCAGCUUGGGCAACAAGAGCGAAACUCCGUCUCAAAAACAAACAACAACAACAAAAAAUAAUAAUAAUUUUUUAUUGAAUACUGGACGUUGUGAAUUGCAUCCUUGUUCAGUGUCUGAAUUGUCCCCCUUUAGGAAGGGUUGUGCUGUUUUUUUCAGCCAGUUAUUUGUGGAUGAGUUUGAUUCAUUUGUGGACUGUUUUUAAGCUUUAUUAGGGUAGGUCUAGAGUAGUCUUCAUUCCAGAAAUAAUUUGACCUUACUACUAAUUAAUAACUGCUCAGAGGUCUUCAAUGAAUUCCUUGGUUUUCACUGAGGACUCUUCACUCUGGCUGGUCAGAGCUCAAAUGUCUUCUCAUCCUCUGUGAGCUCUAAGAAUUAUUUAGCUUAUACUCCCUGGUCAUUCUGUGCUCGACUGUGUGGAUUGUCAAUCCAUACAUGAACAGCCAAGUACUUAGCAAAGUCUCAGAUUUAUGAAUUCUAUUUAUUUAUUUGUAUAGCUUCAUCCCUUCCAAAACUUUGCCCUUCAAUUUCCACAUCUGUGAACUCUGAUCUCUGUCUCCUCAACUCAAUAAAGUCCCUAGGCAGUGGGUUUACCUUUCUAUGCCCAGGAUCUGGAAACUGCCUCCAGGCAGAAAUUUGGGGGCAAUAAUAGCAAACAGUUGUUUUAUAUAUUUUGCCCAGUUUUCUAGUUGUUUGUGGUAGGAAGUUAAGUCCAGUCCUUGUUAUUCCAUCAUGGUCAGAAGUGGAACCUUGGGUAACCUUGGAGAGAGGCUAAUAGGAAAUAACCAUCUGGGAGGGUAGAAGAGUGGGUGGGCUUACUAGAAACUUUCAGUAACUUUCAGUAAUUACUGAGAAGUAAUGAAUGUGCAUCUGAGUGUCAGGAUCAUGAAUUUAAAGUGAAAGCAUUUUGCCAUGUUAAGUGAUUUUCUUUGGAAAUUAUUCAGCAGCUCAGGAGCAAGCAUGAUCUUGAAGAAUGGUUGGCUUGACCAGGAACUAGCGUAUUGCCAGACUAGCAUUAUCAUGCUAGACCAUGCAUUUAAACCAAUGUAGAGCAACAAAAGCAAUUUACUAGUUUUUUUGUUUGUUUGUUUGUUGUGAGACAGAGUCUCACUCUGUCACCCAGGCUAGCAUGCAGUGGCACAAUCUCAGCUCACUGCAACCUCCACCUCCUAGGUUCAAGUGAUUCUCUUGCCUCAGCCUCCUGAGUAGCUGGGACUAAAGGCAUGUGCCACCAUGCCCAGCUAAUUUUUGUAUUUUUUGUAGAGACAGGGUUUCACCAUGUUGGCCAGGCUGGUCUUGAACUCCUAACCUCAAGUGAUCUGCCCGCCUUGGCCUCCCAAAGUGCUGGGAUUACAGGCAUGAGCCACCGGCCCAGCCAGCAGUUCUUUAGAUAUUGUGAAGAUCUAAGCUAAAUUUUUCAGUUGCUAACAAAGAUAGAUAAUUAACAUUUGAAAGAGUACUUUGGAGCUUACAAAGCUAUUUCACAGAUAGAUAACUCAUCUGUUCCUUAAAACAGCCUCAUGAGAGUGAACAUUAUUAUUUCACUUUACAGAUAUAGAAAUCAAUAUUCAGAGAGCAAGAGACUAGUCUAAGACUGCAAAGCUACUAAGUUACGGAGCCAUCUUAAGUCUUAUUGCUCUUAUAAGUACUUAAAAUGAGGGGAAUUCUUUUAAGCUUCUGAAAAUUCUAGACUCUUUUUCCCAAAAAAUUCAUAGAGCCCCUAAUUUUAUAUAUAAUUUCAGAUAAUAUACAGAUUCCCUGAAGUUCAUGCAAGUGGCAGUGUACUCUUGGUUUAAAAUUUCUAAUUUUUUCAGCACUGUAAGACAGGGUGGGAAAAAAAAAUUUCUAGUUUUUAACUUGCAUCUAGAUAGUAGUUACAUGGCUAUUCACUUUAUAAUUUUUUAACUGUAUAGAUAUAUACAUAUAUACACAUAUACACAUACGUAUAUAUACAUAUGUAUUUAUACACAUAUGUAUAUAUGUAUAUAUAAAUAUAUAUGUUACACUGACUUUUCUGUAUAUGUUUUAUAAUAAAAAAUAAAGGCUCAAUAAUAUAGAACUUCUCUACUUUUAGUUGUGCUUUGUGGAUGUUAAGCAUUAAAACAGAGCUGUAUUCCUAAAAAAUCCUCAAAAGUUAAAAAAAUAUAUAUUGUGUUAUUCACUUUGUUUUCAUUGUCUUUCUCCAUUAUUAUCCAUGUGCUUCACAACAGCUCUCCUUUUUUAAAAAAAACACAACCUGUAUAUUACAUGUAGGGCAUCGAUUUUGAAACUGUGAAAGUCAGAGUCCUGGAAUUAGCUGACAAUCUCCUUUUCCAGUUUAUCUUUCCUUCUCCACAAAAAGGCUUGAUAACGGAGAGGGAAGUUGAGAUUUCAGGUCAAUAAUGAGAAAGAAAUUAUGGAACAAGUAAGACAAUGCAAGUCACCCUUAUUUCCGUUUCUCUUAGGAUAAGCAUGAGCUAUUUUCUUGUACUUUCCCAUAUCCUUUUAGUCAGGAGGAUCACAAGAUUAUUCCUUAACCAUCUUCUUCAUGGAGAUUCUUUUUCAAAUGUUAUUUACAUGGGCACAGAUACAAAAAGGCAGAAAAAAAAGCAGAUAGUUUCGUUUCCUGAUACAAACAUAGCAUAGCUUCUUGAGUUCAAGGGUCCUGUCUAACCCUUAAAAAUCUACUUUUCUUUGUAAUUAUCAAGAAUAUUUUGGCCGGGAGCUGUGGCUCACGCCUGUAAUCCCAGCACUUCGGGAGGCUGAGG